CAAGGUGCUAAAAAUAAAAUGCAGAAGGCCCAUAAGAAGUUAAGUCCAAGCAUUGCUCAGCAGGUCCAUGGAGAGAGUCAAAAUAUCGACUCUCUUUGGGAGAGUUGGAUUGAUCCAACGAGAUCAAAGUAGAUCUCAUGAGGGGUGUUAGAUCAACAUAUUGGUCAAAGUAAAUAAAAUGGAGGGCUAAGACUAAAAUCCAGUAAGGGCGCAUGGUGUCCGCAUGUACAGGGGCUCAGUCAAAGUCAUCUAAUCAUGUGGCCAUUAGGGGGCCACGUGCUAAUGAGCCAGUGUUCACCAGAGGGAGUAUUUAUUUGGAAUUCCUUCAAAAUAUCCAAUUUCUCGCCUCUCUUUCUCUCUCUAAUCUCAUUUUGCUCUUCUCUUCUCUCUCUAACUAUCUGAUCUCUCUGCCCCUUCUCCCUUCGGCCACCCUUAGCUCCGCCCUAGGACACCACCAGAACUACCACAUUUAGUCAUGUUCAUCAUGAACAUGAAGAACAUCCAACCCAGAACAUGAACACUAUCGUCCCUAACCGUCCUAACCACCGUCAGAUCUUCGAUUGAAGCUCAACCGAGAUCUUCAAACCUUCAUCCUAUUUCCAAAACCCUUCCCUCAAAUUGGAUAAACCUUAACCCCAGCCUUCAAGAAGCCUAACCAUAACCUUAACCCAUAAGAACCCUACACAUGAACCCUAACAAUCUUCAUCCCUAACCUUCGAACCCUAACCCUCAUUUUCUAGAAACCCCCUAAAGCAAACCCAACUACAAUGAAAACAACAUCAAAUCAUAGAUCAUAACCUCUUAAUCAAAAUUUAAACAUUAAAAUGACAAAAUCAAACCAAAAUUCCCAAACCCCAAAAUCCUAAAUUCUUUCUGUUAAACCUAAACUGAACCCUAACCCACAUCAAAACAACAUAAAUCAACAGCAAAGAUCAACAUACAUUCCAUCACAUCUAAGCUGCAACAACAACAAAAGUAAAUAUCAAGGUCUACCAACCUACAGAGACAAGGGUCUCUCUAGUAAAGGUACCCUGGAUGGAGGUUGAUGCUCAAGUCAAUUAGGGUUUCAAUGCAAAACUUAAAUGCUUCAAUUUGAGAUUUGGUGGAGGUUGGAAUUUUGCAGUAGUUAAGGGUUCUCAAAUUUUUUCUUCGUCCUCUGCGAUUUAGUCUUAGGCUAUUUAAAUAAUAGAAUUAGGUUUAAAAAAUUAAGUUUGAUUGAUAUAUUUUAGGAAGAGUUCGAUCUGAUUGUUGUUAUUUUCUAUAAUUUGAUUUGAUUUGAUUUAGUUUAGGUUUCUGAAUGUAUUUGGUCAUGUUUUGACUUGUAAUCCAAUGUAUUAAUGUGAAUGAAGAUUUGAUUUUGUUUC